GAGCUAAGAAGUUGCUGGAACUUGUUGAACAUCAGCUGGUUGAAACCUUGUUGUCGAGAUGGAACAUUGGCUGUGGAUCAUUCUGGCUGCUCUGUUCUCUGGAAGCAGAGCACAAACAGACAGCGUGCUGCAGCCACAAGCAGAGGUGGCAGCUACUGAAGGAGAGGCUGUGACACUUGGCUGUCAAUACAACAGCAGUUCAUCAAAUCAUUAUCUCUUCUGGUACAAACAGGACGGAAACAACAGCCCCAAAUUCAUCCUGAGUCGCUUUAAGGUUGGCUCGGGGGAAACCGAGGACGAGGAGAGAUUUUCAUCCACACUGGAUUCCACCUUAAGAUCAGUUCCUCUGAAGAUCCAGAAGCUUCAUCUGUCAGACUCUGCUGUGUACUACUGUGCUAUGAGGCCCACAGUGACAGGAAACACCACAACUCUGUACAAAAACCUUUGGAGCAAAGACAAAACUGCACAACAUCCACUAGAGGGAGCCUCACUCUGUAACUUCAGUAGUGUUGAUGAUACAGUCUGGAUUCUUUGUCGUGGUGAUGAAAACAACAGAAAAUGAAGCACUGAAGAAGGAACAGGCCGAGAUCUAUUAGAGCUCAGAUAGAACUUUUAAAGUAAAUUCUUUGUUAGACUCACUUAUAUUGUCAAAAGCCUGAAUAUGAAACAAUUUGAACAAUGCCAAAAUAUAUUUGAGUAAAAUAUCGGACAUUUUUUUAAUGAUAUGUAACAGUGUUUAAAUAUAUUUACGCUCAUCUUCAAAUGCAUUAUUGAUAAUUCACACAGUUUGAACAAAGUCUCAAUAAACUAGUUGUCAUCAGA